GGAGAACCAACAAGCAGCAAAUAUGUAUUGAAUGCAGUUUAAUGGGGAAAAGUUAUAUUGGACAUUAUCAACUUUUACGCUGGGAGAGCGCACGGUCGAGGAGCAGGAUUGUCAACACCCGAUACAGAACACAGAACGUGUGGGACUUUCUCCGCCCAGCGACAGUGCGCUGCCCUUUUCCAUAUGCAUGCUGGGACUUCAGGCAAAGUGGAAAAGCGGGACCCGUGAAUGAAGGGGAAGAAGGGAAGAAGGGAAGAGGGGAAGAGAACGACUGCCGAAGGGGCGGAGCCUAACGCAUCGGCUAACGUCCCGCCAGACUUCGAAGACCCGUAAAUAAAAAGCCCUCUUUCGUUCGGCAGAAGGGGGGUCGGUUCACACAGCCAGAUGUGCGUUCCGAAAUCCCGCGGAGGGGGCAGCCCUCUCCCAGCACGCACAUCACUCUUCAUCACAUCGCUCACAGCGUUUGCUUCCAGCGUUAGCAAAUCAUCACCUGUUGCAUUUUACCGGCUUCCCAGGUGAGGCUAAUGAAAGGGGGACUUAUUGCUUCUGAGCGAACGUUUGGGCAGAGCUCCCUCCCCAGUCCGGCCCCACGCCCAUCUAAAACUGUGCUAGUUAUUGUAUUAGUUAACACACACGCAUACAGUAUAUAAAAUAUGAAGUCCCCCACACGUUUUUAACCCCAGCAGUCCAAUAAUGUGGCAAUAUGUAACGAUAAUGAGAAAUUAUAUAUGCAGUACCAAAUUCCCAUAUGCAGAGGCCACAGCCCCUGGCAUUGAAAAACCAUGGGAGUGAAAUUAACAUGCACUUGUCCAUUAUUUUCUAUUUGGGGGAGACGUUUCAGAUUUUAAAAAAGGAAGUAAUAAGAUGUUAUUUUUACACAAUAAUGGCAAGGCUUACAGUCUUACAGAGUCUCUCUUGUUUUGGAUGUGUCAGGUUAGGUUGAUUUGUACAGGAAUGAUCCCUCUGAUAAAACAGAUUCGAUCCCAUCUGUCUGAAUUUGGAGCCAGUGAUACAGUAUAUGCUGCAUGUAGGUGGAUUUGGCAAGGAGAAAGGCACUUACUGUACCAAACUGCAUUUAGAUAUUCUGAACGCACUCUGUACAUACACAAGUGUUUAUGCAUUUCAAAAAAAUCAGCCAAUUUCAGCAAGUAUUUUAGUUUUAGUCUUAAAAUCUUAUUUCUAUUACUUUCUAUUUUUUGCUCAAUAAGACAAACAAAAUUGGCAAUGAAGUGAAACAGUUGGACUCAUUUCAAGAUUUGCCAGUGGGGUAAGAAAAUUUCAUUUAUCAAGCAGACAGUAACUUAAAAACUAGCUAAUAUUUUCUACUUGAGAGGAAAAAACAAUACUUGUAAGUGUUCUUACAAGACAAAUACAUUUGUUAAGACCGGCUUUGUUAAGACGGUGUGGUUUGCUGUAUGAGACUGGACGUGUGCCCAUGGAAACAAACAUGCAUGGUUUGGAGAGAAAUAGAAUGUGUGCAGUUUUGUUUAUAAGGUUUCAUAUCGCCCCAAUUCUUUUUUCCUUUUGUUUGUAGUGCUAAUGCAGCAGCAUCUGGAAUACUAAUGACACGGCAAACUUAAACUGAUAUUGGCAAGGGAG